CCUACGUGUGGCAGCAGUAGGGACUUUUCGUCAAUGGGCGCAAGCCUGCACGAGCAAUGCCGCGUGAACGAGGAAGGUCUUCGGAUCGUAAAGUUCUGUUGAAGGGGAAAAAGAGCGGAGAGAGGAAAUGAACUCCGAUUGAUAUUACCCUUCGAGGAAGUCACGGCUAACUACGUGCCAGCAGCCGCGGUAAUACGUAGGUGGCAAGCGUUAUCCGGAAUUAUUGGGCGUAAAGAGGGAGCAGGCGGCAGCAAAGGUCUGUGGUGAAAGAAUGAAGCUUAACUUCAGUAAGCCAUAGAAACCGGGCAGCUAGAGUGCAGGAGAGGAUCGUGGAAUUCCAUGUGUAGCGGUGAAAUGCGUAGAUAUAUGGAGGAACACCAGUGGCGAAGGCGACGAUCUGGCCUGCAACUGACGCUCAGUCCCGAAAGCGUGGGGAGCAAAUAGGAUUAGAUACCCGGGUAGUC
rnacentral:rRNA from 1 species